GACGAACGCUGGCGGCGUGCUUAACACAUGCAAGUCGAACGAAGUGGCGAACGGGUGAGAAAUACGUGGGUAACCGGCCCUCCUUGUUGGGAUCAGCAUUGGAAACGGGGUCUAAUAUCGCACAAAGGGGGAUUGGCUCGCGGCGUAUCAGCUUGUUGGUGGGGGGAUGGCCUACCAAGGCGGUGUCGGGUAGCCGGCCUGCGAGGGUGAACGGCAACAUGAGGAGUGGGAUACGGCCAAGACUGCUACGGGAGGGGGCAGGUGGGGUUAUUGCAAAAGGGGCGAGAGCCGGAUGCAGCGGCGCCGAGGGGGGGAUGAAGGCUUUCGGGUUGUAAACCUGUUUCGCUAGGGAAGGGGUAGGUGGAGAAGAAGCGCCGGCUAACUACGUGCCAGCAGCCGCGGUAAUUC
rnacentral:rRNA from 1 species